UUCUCUUUUUAUUUUAUUAGGCUUAUGAGGAGCUAUUUUGGCGGCAUCACAUUAAAUGUGAUACUCCCUUGAAGUAAAGAUAAAAGUGUUCAGACUGUUCAAGUUUAACUCCAGAGACUUUGAAGUCUGCUACCCAGAGGAGCCUCUCAGGGACUGGCCGGAGAUCUCCCUGCUGACCGAGAACGACCGCCACUACCACAUUCCAGUCUUUUAAGUCCGCUGGGGGCCGAACAGCAGUGCUCACCAGUGACGGUUCCUCUGAAGCAGCUGCACUGAUACAUUUGGGAGUUGGUGGCUUGACUUUGUCCAUAAGGGGCGUGGCCACUUCACAUGAUGGCAGGCCUUUAAG
rnacentral:lncRNA from 1 species